GGUGAGGGGUUCAGUGGUAGAGCAAAUGCCUACUAUGCACGAGGUCCUGGGUUCAAUCCCCAGCACCA
rfam:Ictidomys tridecemlineatus contig114623, whole genome shotgun sequence.